rnacentral:rRNA from 1 species
UUGGAGGGCAAGUCUGGUGCCAGCAGCCGCGGUAAUUCCAGCUCCAAUGGCGUAUAUUAAAGUUGUUGCAGUUAAAAAGCUCGUAGUUGAAUUUCGGGAUCAAAUAAUCGGUCGUGCCUCCGGUACGUACUGGUUUUAUUGGUUCCUCCCUUCUGACGAACCAUGAUGUCAUUAAUUUGAUGUGGUGGAGAAUCAGGACUGUUACCUUGAAAAAAUUAGAGUGUUUAAAGCAGGCUAACGCUUGAAUACAUUAGCAUGGAAUAAUGAAAUAGGACGUUCGACCCUAUUUUGUUGGUUUCUAGGAUCGACGUAAUGAUUAAUAGGGAUAGUUGGGGGCAUUAGUAUUCAAUUGUCAGAGGUGAAAUUCUUGGAUUUAUUGAAGACUAACUUCUGCGAAAGCAUUUGCCAAGGAUGUUUUCAUUAAUCAAGAACGAAAGUUAGGGGAUCGAAGACGAUCAGAUACCGUCGUAGUCUUAACCAUAAACUAUGCCGACUAGGGAUCGGACGAUGUUAAUUUUUUAAUGACUCGUUCGGCGCCUUACGGGAAAC